AGGGAUCGUGAGCUCUUCAUCCAUCAUAAUCUUUCUUCAUCCAUCUUUCCAAAACCACCCCCUCCCCUUUUUUUUUUAAGGUUAUAUGGAUCCCUCCGAUGCUGCUUUUGUGAAAAAUUACAAAGAUUAUUUAGACAAGGAUUAUGGAGUGAGUGUAUUUUAGGAAAUCGAUACCACUCCUUUAGAGAGCAUAGAUCAGGCGUCCAAUAUCUUUGAUAAUAUCACUCGAUCAGUCCAGAAGGCAGAUCCAAAGUUUUUUCUCCGUAGGGUUACCAUUUACGGCGAUUUUUCUAAAUACGGAGGAGAUACCAGCAUCUUUCAUAAAGGGAACCAUAAAUUUGAUCUAAUAGAAUGUAAUCUGCCUAAAAGAUUGACCUACCGUGAUAAAGACGAUUGUCAAGAAAAGAUUCCCUUUAAAGAAAAUUUAGCAGCUCUAUGUUUGAAACAGGACAUUAAUUUCCAUACUAUCGCCAAUCCUCUUCCCUUCAAUUUUUUGGUGAUAACUUCGGAUCCUAGUUUUGGAGAACUCUUCACCGAUUUGGAGGAUGACGGAUUCAUCGUGAUGUUGUCAUGUAGCCGUACGCAAUUCGUUCGUUGGGUGAAUCUGCAUAUUACAUGUUGUAUUGGGAGGAGAUGAAGAAAGUAUGGGAACCUCUUAUUCCCAAAUUACACUACCAUUUACAGGCUAAGGCUACACGUGGAAGAUCAGCUUAAUUAAUGGAAGUUUGGUUAAAGAAUUUUUUUUGUUUUUUUUGUUUCUAGUUUAUGUUAUAAGGUAUUCCAUCUAUAGUAAUGAUUAUUGAAACU